GACGAACGCUGGCGGCGCGCUUAACACAUGCAAGUCGAGCGAAGCGGCGGACGGGUGAGUAACACGUGAGUAACCUGCCUUAGACAUUGGGAUAGCCUCGGGAAACCGGGAUUAAUACCAAAUGGUCUAAGAUGGACUCGCGUCCCAUUAGCUAGUUGGGAGGUAACGGCCAACCAAGGCGAGGAUGGGUAGCCGGCCUGAGAGGGGGACAGGCAACAUUGGAACGGAGAACCGGCCCAAACCCUAGGGGGGGCAGAAGUGGGGAAUAUUGCAAAAUGGAGGGAACUUUGAUGAAGGGAGGCCGCGGGAACGAAAAAGGCUUUGGAUCCGUAAGGUUUUUUUAUAUGGGAAGGGGUACAAUAGGAAAAGCCCCGGCUAACUACGUGCCAGCAGCCGCGGUAAUUC
rnacentral:rRNA from 1 species